CCUACGGGAGGCAGCAGUGGGGGAUAUUGCACAAUGGGGGAAACCCUGAUGCAGCAACGCCGCGUGAGUGAAGAAGUAUUUCGGUACGUAAAGCUCUAUCAGCAGGGAAGAGAAUGACGGUACCUGACUAAGAAGCCCCGGCUAACUACGUGCCAGCAGCCGCGGUAAUACGUAGGGGGCGAGCGUUAUCCGGAUUUACUGGGUGUAAAGGGAGCGUAGACGGCUGGGCAAGUCUGAAGUGAAAGCCCAGGGCUUAACCCCGGAACGGCUUUAGAAACUGAGCAGCUGGAGUGCAGGAGAGGUAAGCGGAAUUCCUAGUGUAGCGGUGAAAUGCGUAGAUAUUAGGAGGAACACCAGUGGCGAAGGCGGCUUACUGGACAGUAACUGACGUUGAGGCUCGAAAGCGUGGGGAGCAAACAGGAUUAGAUACCCUGGUAGUC
rnacentral:rRNA from 1 species